AUUAACGCUGGCAGCGUGCAUAACACAUGCAAGUCGAGCGGAGUGUCUGCGAUUACAUCAAGGGCACUUAGCGGCAGACGAGUGAGUAACACGUAAGAAACGUACCCCGGAGCGGGAAAUAACCAGCCGAAAGGUUGGCUAAUAGCCCGUACGAUCCGAUUCAGGCAUCUGUUUCGGAUGAAAGGCCCGCAGGGGUCGCUCUGGGAGCGUCUUGCGACCUAUCAGCUAGUUGGCGGUGUAACGGACCACCAAGGCGACGACGGGUAGCCGGCCUGAAAGGGCGAUCGGCCACGGAGGCACUGAGACACGGGCCUCACUUCUACGGAAGGCAGCAGUGGGGAAUUUUGGACAAUGGGGGAAACCCUGAUCCAGCAACGCUGCGUGAGGGACGAAGGUCUUCGGAUUGUAAACCUCUUUUCUCAGGGAAGAAUACCCGCAAGGGUUUGACGGUACCUGAGGAAUAAGCCACGGCUAACUACGU
rnacentral:rRNA from 1 species